AUGAACGCUGGCGGCGUGCCUAAUACAUGCAAGUCGAGCGAACAGACGAGGAGCUUGCUCCUCUGACGUUAGCGGCGGACGGGUGAGUAACACGUGGAUAACCUACCUAUAAGACUGGGAUAACUUCGGGAAACCGGAGCUAAUACCGGAUAAUAUAUUGAACCGCAUGGUUCAAUAGUGAAAGACGGUUUUGCUGUCACUUAUAGAUGGAUCCGCGCCGCAUUAGCUAGUUGGUAAGGUAACGGCUUACCAAGGCAACGAUGCGUAGCCGACCUGAGAGGGUGAUCGGCCACACUGGAACGGAGACACGGUCCAGACUCCUACGGGAGGCAGCAGUAGGGAAUCUUCCGCAAUGGGCGAAAGCCUGACGGAGCAACGCCGCGUGAGUGAUGAAGGUCUUCGGAUCGUAAAACUCUGUUAUUAGGGAAGAACAAAUGUGUAAGUAACUAUGCACGUCUUGACGGUACCUAAUCAGAAAGCCACGGCUAACUACGUG
rnacentral:rRNA from 1 species